CGAGAUAAUGUGAAUGAUUUCUCCAGAUCUGGUCCGGGAUGAGAUGAAGUGGUUCGCAUGACCUUGGGCAAGCCCCUCUCUCUUUUAUGAUGGAACGGCAGACACUGUUAAACCCGGGGAUUACCAUGAUGAGAGAUACAGUGGCCGCUCCCUUGGAGUAGUCCACCAACGGCGGAGGCGCACAGAAUCAGACUUUCUGACCAAUGCCUGGGGAUUCUGUUUUUUCCUUUCUUUUGGGGGGCUUGGAUGGUGUUCUGAGGGGCGGGGGUCAUCGGAGGAGUGUCUUUGCAGUACAAAGCUACACCUGCAUCAUGUGUGGAACGAGACAGUGGCCUUAGCCCGCUGCCAGAUACCUGUGUGGGUAUGGCUGCCAUCUGUAGAUUUCCCAGAAGAUUCCCCUGGGAGAGCCCUAAAGUGGAGCAGUAGACAGGAGUAAAAUGACGUGGAGAACCCAGGAGAAUUAGUCAUAUGUUAAGCUGUUAUGGUAAAGUUACCGGUGGAGAGGAUCUGUGUUUUGUACCUCAGAAAAAUAUGGCUGAGGCAUUGGAAAUAUGCUGAGUCAUGGACUCGGGGGAAGGGAGUGCCCGGCGCAAAUCUCGGGAACCUGAGGUCUUUAUUCAGGAUGUGUGGAAGGGCAAGGAAGAAAUUUGAGGCCACCACAAGACCUUAGACAUCCUGCUUUAUAAAAAAGGACUCCGAACGCCACAAUAGGUUCAUAGUGGGGGGAAAGACACCAGGGUUCUUAGGAAGAUGACCCUGACAAGUGUCAAGGGUGGACUGCAGGACUUGGAGAUCGACCACAUGAGAUCAGACUAGUAGAGAAUGCUCCUAAGUGACACAUGUAGGCUGACAUGCUACCUUCUUGGUCCAGGUCACCUGGUCAGUAACCACACAGGCCGCUGACCUGAGUGAAAAGGAAGUUGGUUUGCCCUAGGUGUAAUGUUCUGCCAUCUCAAUAGGUUCUGACCUUUUUACUUUCUAAGCUUCUUUCCUGCCUCCAGGGACAGCCCUCCCCCAGUUUGCAACAAACCUUUACCUCAGGGGGCAGACUUGCUUUAUUCACACUUGUUCUCUUGCCCCUUUGGGGACGGGGGUGGUGUGUGUGUGUGUGUGUGUGUGUGUGUGUGUGUGUGUGUGUGUAUGCGCGCGCGCGCGCGCGUGCGCGCGCGUGUAUAUUACCAUGCUGGAGGGUGGGCUGUGCCCUAUCUUGUUCUGAAGAAAUGAUAAACAAUGCCUUCUUUGUUGCUCUGCAACCUGGACCAAUGGGGUAGGACUCUCCCUUCUUUCAUAUUCUAAACAGAUGGGAAAGUGGUGAUGACAGAAAAUUGCCGGUCACCUUUUAAGCAGUGGGAUUUUCCUGUGUUUUUGAAAUCCUCAUGGUGAAAGGUGAUGAACCUGUGGAGUUGUCCUUCUUUCUGCUGUGCCCCAGCAAACUAAAGCUCCUACUAAGUCUUUGACUUAAAAAAACAAAACAAAACAAAACAAAAAAACCUCAACAAUGAAACCACAAAUACAUUGUCCCAGAAUCUCCAGGGGACAGCUGUCCAGGGGAGCAUUUUAACCCUAACCAGGUUCCCAGCCUCCUGCAAUAAGGUCUGUUAUGACUUUGGCUGCUGUCUGUUCUUAACCUGGCAUGCCAGUUGUCCCUUCUAAUAUUUUUUGUCUGUUUCUAUUGCCUCUCAGGCUUUAGUUCCUGGCAGGUGCGUGGAGGAGGAUGAACAAGUCAGUUAGGGUCUCCCAGUGUAGCCUCCAGCAGCCCCAUGGAUCAAAGAGUUAACCACAAUUAAUUUAUUGUCACUUUAGGAGUAUUUACACUGGAAGAAUAAGCAAGUGACUUCACAUACACACUUUUAGAUUGAGGGACAGAAGGCCCAUGUGACCAAAAAUUAUGCAUAAAUUUGUGCCUGUGUGCUGCCCCCUCCCAAUAAGAUUCAAAGGCCAUGACAGCCCUGACUCUUGGCUCUGCUAAGUGUCAAGAACAAGGUUGCUUUGCAAAUGAACUCAUAGAUGAGUUUUCAGACUCUUAUCCUGGUCAAAUGUCAAAUUGGUGCUGUCCACCCUCCCAUUUGGACAGUAAACUCAAAAGCCAGAAAGAUUUUUUUGAGCUUGAAAGGUUCCUAAGGAACAUUUUUCGGCCACAUUGCACUCCCAAAGCAGGAGGGACAUGGAGAGGGGUGUUUUGAGUGGAGGUCUUUUUGCUCCCAGUGUAAUGUCCAUAAAGCAGAAUUUGUAUACUACAUCGUAUCCAGUAAUCACAACCAGGGGCUGCUCCACUGCCUGCCCGUGUAACCCAUCACCCACGAGGGUGGCUUCUCUCACCUGUUUGCUUUUAAAGCAUAAAACAAAUGUCUGUAGCCUAGGAGAGAUUUCCCCCUUCCCCCUAGGUUUUGGGGGAUGUUUUGUGGGUUUGUUUUAGAGCUAGGGAAAGGGGGGUGGUGGUGGUAUUUUGCCUGAGGACUCAAAGCUUUUUUCCCCCUUUUUCCUUCGCAUGACUGACUUUCUCACACUCCGAUUCCCUGCAGCCUGCCAGAGACUGGGUUGUUGCCUUGCCAAGAGCUAUCCUGGUAGGGUUAUUGAAAGAGCUUUGAGUAAGUACACAUGGGGCGGAUUUCUCUCCUCCCCUUGUACCUGCCCUGCACCUGUACUGGGAGCAGCCCCACACAUAUCACCUGAUCACAGCCCUUUCAGACUCCGUGAGAAAAAUGAAGCCAGAGAGAGCAGAGACAUGUUUGCCUUUCCUCCAGGGCAGCAGCCAGCUCCUUGCAGCUGGGAGUGUCCAGAGACACUGUCGACAUUCCAGGCAUCUGUGCCUGCAUGUUUUCUGUGGGUUCCUCCUGGCGACACCACACUGGGACAAGAAGGAAGCUGGAGAUCACUUUCCCUGUGGCCACUCUCCUGCUCUGGCCGUGAGCAUUUGGCCUGCUGGUGACUUCAGGUUCCUUUACUGGAAUCAUCAUCAUCAUCUUCUCAGAUAAGAGUCUUUGACUUCUUCACAGAAUUCCCAAGCAGAACUUCUCAUAACCUGGACAGUCCCUGAAAAAGGAAUUUGAAUUUGUUCCUCUAUAUGCCCCUUUAUGUCUAGCAGGUGUCUAAUAAAUAUUUCUCGAAUAAACAAAUGCAUCACUCUCUUGCCCAAGGAGGGUCCACAGCUUUCUCAUCUGAUCCAAAGAUUCUGUGACCAGAAUUGGUUUAGGCAAUCCAUGUCUCCUGGUAGGCACCUUCCCUCUAGACAGGGGCGGAUUGGCUAGAGGAUGAGCAGCAAUGUAAGGCCUGGGGUGGGGUGAGCAGAGCCAUUGCCCAAGCUCCCCCACUGCCUCGAUGCUGUGGUCCUCUCAUUGUUUUAGGGCAGGAUUUACAGAGUUCCAGGCAGCAGCCAGACCCUGCAUUUUAAAGUAAGGGCAUUAAUAACGAGUUUUAAUUUCUGCAAUGUCGUCUUCUUAAGCUGCUCCCUGCCCAGUGUUUAGAUGGAGAAAGGGAAAAGAGGGUUGGGGAAUGCUUGGAACAAACGUUUGGUUGCCAUGCAAAGGCAUUGGAAACAACUGCAAGGCUGCAUUCCAUCUUUGAUAAAAAUAAGUUGCCACUUCUGAACAAAAACGCCUGCUUGAUGCCUGGCCAAGCCCAGCCGGUACUAGGAGAAGUCGGGUGGGGGGUGGAAAACAGGCUUUCAACAUUGGCUAAUAGCCUGUAAUGCUCCCCCGCCCCCUAACACUCACUGGAGCCAGUGAGACCAAGGGAAUGUGCACUUCCCUAAUGGGCUCUGAAGGAGGAUGGCUGCCAAGAAGGCCCUUCUUAGAAGGGUGGGGGUGGGGCGCCUGUGUUCUGCUCAACUCUCCUACUUGGCUGGACCACAGGGGCAUGCGCUCAUAGCCAGUAGCCUCACCGCAGUGUCAGGCCUCUGUGAGCCAUGCAGAUGCCUUCUGAGGGAAAGUGAGACACGGUUCCUGUUUGACACCCGUGGGAAGUGAUGCUCUCGAUCCAGCAUCCGUCAAGGAUCCAGCUCCGGUUUUUUUCAUUUAUUUGUGAUAGGGCCUCUUGAAGCCCAAACUGGCCUUGGACUCCAAAUCCUUCUCCUCUUCAAAUGCUGGGGUUGCAGGCCCAUGACCCCAUGUCACGCUGGAGCCCCAGUUUUUAUCCAAGAGGGUUUCAUUCAGCACACAUAGGACAUGGGAAAGGGACGGAGAGGCUCAAUGACAGCUGUGUUUUCCCAUGUUUCACUGGACUUGGUUUCACCUUGGAUAGAGUCAGUGCGCCCAGGACAUCCCCCUCACCACUGGGAGGCUCCAGGAAAAAAAUCCGUGUGGAAAGGUGGAAGUCAGACAGAAAGUGGGGCUGAAAAGGACACUUGGUCUAAGAGAGCACACAUAGGACAUGGGAAAGGGAUGGAGAGGCUCAUUCUUGAUGAAGAGUCAAGGUACAAAGUGGGAGAGGCAUGGAUUUCAACCGUGUGCUGUGGAAAGAGACAUCCCAUGAACACCCAGGGAGCAGCUUUUUGCAAUGAGCAGGGAUGCUGUGGAGCCCAGAAUGAAGCAGUUUACCAUUGCAAAGGUAUUUCGUCCAGCCACUGGGUAAUUCAGUCAAUGGACAUUUGCUGAACAGCACUGUCAGGACAGAAGUGGAUUGCUUUUCACCCGCUGCGCCUGUGGAUUGGAAGCUCUUUGAGGACAGCUUCUCAUUCCAGGCUGAAUCCCGGGACACAUGGUGACGGGAAAGAGAGAGCGACAGACAAGCCAUGGCUCACACAGAUGAACACACACAGGCCAACAUGCUUGUGCUCUGCUUCCUUUCAAAGUUUAGUUGCAGGUGUGAGGCGCAAGGACUGAGGGGGGCCGUGGGCUGAGAAGCAUGAUGUCCCCGGAAAGGACGUAUGAGAAUGAAUGACAGCAUUUGGGAAGACAGGAGGAUGGCCCUUCUUGGUCACCCACCCACAAAGGCUCUUUUGGGAGAGAAUGAAGCUCUUGCAUUCAGGUGACCUAGGGAUCCCAGAGACGGGGUAUAGAGGCUGCAGGAGUGAGAAUGGAAAGUACCAUCUUUCCAGCAGUGAAAAAGCCCUUUGGUCACUUGACAUCCUGCCAUCCUGCUCUGGGCCGCUGCUGAGCUUACCUCCGUCUUGUGGAUGAGCACCAACAACACAGACGACCUGCUUCUGCUCCUGAUGCACAGCUGUGGGCAAUGGAGGCAAGUGGGUGUAAGAGCAAUGGGAAGGGCAGGCUUAUGGUCAGAGUGUGCCCAUUCCCCAAGGAAUUGUUAGUUUGCUUUUUCAAUACUUACCACAUCACAAACUCAGAAUUCACAAAGCAUGAAGGCAAAUGUCAAUGUAUAUUAUGAAAUGUGCCUGUCUCUCACCCCUCCUCCCCCUCCCUAUAGUCAUCCAGUUGUCCUUACUGAUAUUCUCAGUUUUUCAAGAUGAGACUGUAAUGGAAAGUUUAAGCUUGUACAACCAGAUGUGUUAGCUUUGAGUUCCAAAUAUGCUGCUUGUACCGUGCUAUGUUCUCUUAGUGAUUGACAGUCUCUUCCAUGCGAGUCUGCGCCAGUCUCCUCAGUUGGGUUCUGUUUGUUAGCUGCAUAGUGCUUCCCCAUGUUGCUGGGGAAGUCACCCCAGUACCUAUCUAAAGAGCCAGACUCCAGCCUUUUGGGGGAGCCCCUGUUUUACUAAUAACAAAGGGUAUUGUGACAUGAAGGAACAUCAGUCUUGUGCUGCCCAGCAUUGUCACUACUAACUACACUGCAAUUCCACACAUAUGGCUGGUCCAGUCAAGACUGGCUACAAAGGUACGAUGCAAACUAGACUUUGGGGAUUUAAUUUUAAAAUGUAAACCAUCUUAUUUAAUAUUUUUUAACAUUUAUUGCAUGUCAAAUUAUUUUUUAAAUAUAUCAGCUGUA